rnacentral:tRNA from 1 species
GCCUGGGUGGCUCAGUCAGUUAAGCAUCUGACUUCAGCUCAGGUCAUAAUCUCAUGGUUCAUGGGUUCGAGCCCCACAUCAGGCU